rnacentral:rRNA from 1 species
UACGAAGGGGGCUAGCGUUGCUCGGAAUCACUGGGCGUAAAGGGUGCGUAGGCGGGUCUUUAAGUCAGGGGUGAAAUCCUGGAGCUCAACUCCAGAACUGCCUUUGAUACUGAGGAUCUUGAGUUCGGGAGAGGUGAGUGGAACUGCGAGUGUAGAGGUGAAAUUCGUAGAUAUUCGCAAAGAACACCAGUGGCGAAGGCGGCUCACUGGCCCGAUACUACGCU